CACCGCUAACCACCGGACGACCAGAGAAUGCCCUUGACUGGUGGCUUUAAGUCACUGUUUCGCUGAGCAGCAGCAGGUCAGAAAACUCCCGUGUGAGAGAUGCCCACACUCUGCCAGGAGGAAGGCAGACAUUUUUAGCACCAGAAAAGGGAAACUGGGAGUCAAGAAAUCAGUGCGAACAAACCCCGUUGAGCUCACUCAUCUUCCCACUUACUUCUUCACCGCAUGCUGCCCCAGCCCAAACCUCUUGGUGUGGCCGAUUCUUCACUGAUGUGUUGAUUCUUCUUCUACAAGGUGUGAAAGCUGCCUGCUCUGCUGCUCUG
ensembl:lncRNA